AAGAGUUAGUUUAUAAAAGAAUUAUUGACUGUUAAUCAAAAGGAGUAUCUCUUAAA
rnacentral:tRNA from 1 species